AAGCAGCAAGGCCUCUGCAAACUGAAAGAAGCGAUCUGAUUGGUUGCUAUGGGCAACUGGGCAACUUUUUCUCUGGACAGGUUUUGAUAAAUCUCCCCCCUAGAAUCAGUCACUAGUCCUCUUUUGCCCUGAAUGAUUUCUGAAAGGAUCAUCUGGUAUCUCAGUUGGCAAUCUUGCGAUCACAUCACUUUGCAGAUAUUCCAUGGCUCUUGCGAAUAAGUGAGGAUCCAGAUGUUCUAAUUCAGACAACACAAGUUCUGGGUCAUCACUAAGAUCUGCCAGUGACUGUGUAUGAUACAUGUUUCUACUUUAUUACCAUAUAUACGGUAUACAAAUCAUACAGGACAAUCUAAACUCCAACAUGCCUGUUAUCAUGCCUAAUCACCAGCACCAGAUCUGGAAAAAUUAAGUAAACACCUGAUAGCAAAUUCCUUUGAUACCUGAAAAUGGAGAACUCUGUGCGGCUACAAUCCUUUUCUGACUAUAAAUCACCAUGAGGAAGCAAAAGAAAAUCCCUGUGAGCAUCCUACAAAGAAAACACCAAAGCAUUAUGUAGGUGCUUGGAA